rnacentral:rRNA from 1 species
GAUGAACGCUGGCGGCGUGCCUAACACAUGCAAGUCGAGCGAUUCUCUUCGGAGAAGAGCGGCGGACGGGUGAGUAACGCGUGGGUAACCUGCCCUGUACACACGGAUAACAUACCGAAAGGUAUGCUAAUACGGGAUAAAAUGUUUUGAUCGCAUGGUCGAAAUAUCAAAGCUCCAGCGGUACAGGAUGGACCCGCGUCUGAUUAGCUAGUUGGUGAGGUAAUGGCUUACCAAGGCGACGAUCAGUAGCCGACCUGAGAGGGUGAUCGGCCACAUUGGAACUGAGACACGGUCCAAACUCCUACGGGAGGCAGCAGUGGGGAAUAGUGCACAAUGGGCGAAAGCCUGAUGCAGCAACGCCGCGUGAGCGAUGAAGGCCUUCGGGUCGUAAAGCUCUGUCCUCAAGGAAGAUAAUGACGGUACUUGAGGAGGAAGCCCCGGCUAACUACGUGCCAGCCGCCGCGGUAAGAC